GUGGUGGUGUGAUCGGGAGAAUACGUAAUAGUAUUGCGGGUAUGAUUGCUGCCGAAGUUUGCCAUUUGCUGGAUAUAAAGUUACUUCCGUUGUGGUGUGACGUUGAGAAGAUGGUUUAUGGUGUGUUGAAGCCAACGAGAGGGAACUAUCCCCUCGUCUGGCCGCCAGGCACAAUUAGCGUCUUUUUUUAGCGUGUACAUUAGCGUAUUAAAAACACAAAAUCUACUGGAUUAUAUGAGAGAUUGGCUGUAUUGGCAUGUUUUUAUGUAAUAUAUGUAAUUUAUUCGAUCUAGCCCUAAUUAAGAUAUAGAAUGGAACUCCUGCCAACACUGACUCUUCAAACAGAGGGGAAUAUUAUUACAUACAGUGCAACCAGAUCUUGUUCUUGGAGUUCUAUCUUUAUUCCCUUCUGUUCUCUUUCUUUUGUACUGACACCAAGCACAAGUUUGAGUGGAUGACAGAGAAAUCCGAUGAUGAUUCAGAUCUGGAUUUAAUCGAAUGGAAGGUAGUGAACUUGAAAACUCAAAGAGUUGAUGAUAGAGCUGCUGACGAAAUUGAACAUGAGAAAGGGUAGUAGUGCCAGUGCCAGUGCCAGUGCCAGUAGCUAGUCGAUGAAGAAUAUAAGCAUUCACAAUAGAAUGAUCGAUAAUCCAGUAUAGAAUUGUCAACCAGGUGCGAUUAGUGGGCAUAUGAGUCUCAUAGGAAGCUCUAUACUGAUUUGCUAGGUCAAUCCCAUUCAUAUUAUGAUUAUAAUCAUCAAUAAUAGUAGGAAUCUUCACUGCUUUUUGUCAAUUAUCCCCAAAUAUUCUCUGAAUUUGAGAUUCAUUAGUAGAGGUCUUUCCUGGGUGUUUUCUGACACAUUCAACAAAGCUGUCUGGCAGAUGAAUUGUAGACAGUAGUAAUACUAUAUUAUUAUCUUUCCAUCCAAGACAGAGAACUUCAUUUUGAGGAAUUAUACAGAGAGUAUUGAAGGGAAUGUGAGUAGAUAAUCCAGAGCUUUUCAGUUCUUGUAGAAGAGGUGGU
rnacentral:sRNA from 1 species